rnacentral:rRNA from 2 species
UGGGGGAUAUUGCACAAUGGGGGAAACCCUGAUGCAGCGACGCCGCGUGAGUGAAGAAGUAUUUCGGUAUGUAAAGCUCUAUCAGCAGGGAAGAAAGACCCGCAAGGGGGAUGACGGUACCUGAGUAAGAAGCCCCGGCUAACUACGUGCCAGCAGCCGCGGUAAUACGUAGGGGGCAAGCGUUAUCCGGAUUUACUGGGUGUAAAGGGAGCGCAGACGGUUAUGCAAGUCUGGAGUGAAACCCCACAGCUCAACUGUGGGCUUGCUUUGGAAACUGUGUAACUAGAGUACUGGAGAGGUAAGCGGAAUUCCUAGUGUAGCGGUGAAAUGCGUAGAUAUUAGGAGGAACACCGGUGGCGAAGGCGGCUUACUGGACAGCAACUGACGUUGAGGCUCGAAGGCGUGGGGAGCAAACA